rnacentral:rRNA from 1 species
UGGGGAAUUUUGGACAAUGGGCGAAAGCCUGAUCCAGCAAUGCCGCGUGUGUGAAGAAGGCCUUCGGGUUGUAAAGCACUUUUGUCCGGAAAGAAAUCCUUGGCUCUAAUACAGUCGGGGGAUGACGGUACCGGAAGAAUAAGCACCGGCUAACUACGUGCCAGCAGCCGCGGUAAUACGUAGGGUGCAAGCGUUAAUCGGAAUUACUGGGCGUAAAGCGUGCGCAGGCGGUUUGCUAAGACCGAUGUGAAAUCCCCGGGCUCAACCUGGGAACUGCAUUGGGUGACUGGCAGGCUAGAGUAUGGCAGAGGGGGGUAGAAUUCCACGUGUAGCAGUGAAAUGCGUAGAGAUGUGGAGGAAUACCGAUGGCGAAGGCAGCCCCCUGGGCCAAUACUGACGCUCAUGCACGAAAGCGUGGGGAGCAAACAGGAUUAGAUACCCUGGUAGUCCACGCCCUAAACGAUGUCAACUAGUUGUUGGGGGAUUCAUUUCCUUAGUAACGUAGCUAACGCGUGAAGUUGACCGCUGGGGAGUACGGUCGCAAGAUUAAAACUCAAAUGAAUUGACGGGGUCAUAGCUGUUUCCU